rnacentral:rRNA from 1 species
UACGUAGGGCGCAAGCGUUGUCCGGAAUUAUUGGGCGUAAAGAGCUCGUAGGCGGUUUGUCGCGUCUGCUGUGAAAACCUAAGGCUCAACCUUGAGCUUGCAGUGGGUACGGGCAGACUAGAGUGUGGUAGGGGAGCUGGAAUUCCUGGUGUAGCGGUGAAAUGCGCAGAUAUCAGGAGGAACACCGAUGGCGAAGGCAGGUCUCUGGGCCACUACUGACUGAGAAGCGAAAGCAUGGGG